UACGAAGGGUGCAAACGUUGCUCGGAAUUAUUGGGCGUAAAGCGCACGUAGGCGGCAUUGCAAGUCGGAUGUGAAAUCUUAUGGCUUAACCAUAAAAGUGCAUCCGAAACUGCAGUGCUUGAGUACUUAAGAGGAUCGCGGGAUUCCCGGUGUAGAGGUGAAAUUCGUAGAUAUCGGGAGGAACACCAGUGGCGAAGGCGGCGAUCUGGGAAGAUACUGACGCUGAGGUGCGAAAGCGUGGGGAGCAAACAGG
rnacentral:rRNA from 1 species